rnacentral:misc_RNA from 1 species
AACGCAAAUUGCGCCUGAGGCUUCGGCCAAAGGCAUGUCUGCCUCAGCGUCGGCUCACUCCCUCGCCCUCCCUCCAGGGAUGGGUGGACUUGACCUUCCCGGCCGCUUGAUCGGGUUGGUUGAAGCGAAGAGGUUUGAACAUGGACCCCGUUGUAGGGCAAUGGCUUGGUAGGUAGGCUUCUCCUACACAACCUGCCGUUGUCUGAGGGGUGUUUGUUGGAGACCUAGCAGGAAAAUCGAAUGGUGUACGCCAUCUCGACUCAACCUUCGACCUGAGCUCAGGCAAGAUUACCCGCUGAACUUAA